rnacentral:rRNA from 1 species
CACCGCGGUUAUACGAGGGACCCAAGUUGAUAGUCACGGCGUAAAGAGUGGUUAAGAAAAACUAUAAACUAAAGCCGAACACCUUCAAAGCUGUUAUACGCAUUCGAAAGUAAGAAGCCCAACUACGAAAGUGGCUUUACAACACCCGAACCCACGAAAGCUAAGAAA